UUUUUUUUCGUUUUUUUUUCGUUUUU
rnacentral:sRNA from 1 species